rnacentral:rRNA from 1 species
GACGAACGCUGGCGGCGUGCUUAACACAUGCAAGUCGAGCGAUGAAGCACCUUCGGGUGUGGAUUAGCGGCGAACGGGUGAGGAACACGUGAGGAAUCUGCCUUCCACUCUGGGAUAACUCCGGGAAACCGGGGCUAAUACCGGAUAUUUUCAACUGGCGGCAUCGCCGGUUGAAGAAAGUUUUUCGGUGGAAGAUGACCUCGCGGCCUAUCAGCUGGUUGGUGAGGUAAAGGCUCACCAAGGCGACGACGGGUAGCCGGUCUGAGAGGGUGACCGGCCAACCUGGGACUGAGACACGGCCCAGACUCCUACGGGAGGCAGCAGUGGGGAAUAUUGGGCAAUGGAGGAAACUCUGACCCAGCGACGCCGCGUGAGGGAUGAAGGCCUUCGGGUUGUAAACCUCUUUCAGCAGGGAAUAAGCGAAAGUGAAGGUACCUGCAGAAGAAGCACCGGCUAACUAUGUGCCAGCAGCCGCCGUAA